CCUUGAUCGCCCCCUGGAGGCUGGCUGCUCUACAGGUCAUAAACUCCUCCUCCUCCUCCUCCUCCAUGUUAACAGAUACAAAAAACUAUAAACAUUAAAUAAACAUCUCUUAGAGAUUUCAGUCACUUCAGGUCGUUCUUAUCUCACUGAAGUUUUCCUGAUCAGUUUGGUUUAUUUAGUUAUUUGAUAUAAAAUGAGACGUCCACGAUAUUUGGUUUCAUUUGUGGACAGAGGCCGAAGUGAAGCUGCGUCGUUCAUCUUUAUUUACAGACGAUCGUCUGAACCAACAUCCAAGACAACCUGCUUAUGUAAUCUAUAUAAUCGAAUCUAUGUAAAAUGCAUCACUGAUUUUCAUGAUGUUCUGUUUUCUCUUAUUAAAGCUUUGCUCAGCAUCAA